GUGGGGCACCAUCCAAGGAAAGCUUAUUGGAAAUGAAGCCAAAGCAAAGGAAAUGACCAAGAGAUGAAGGGAGGAUCGUGAUCUUACUCUUUGAGCCUCUGGAUCAGUCCAUACCUGAAGCUGGAACUGUCGGUGUGAUUGCAAUCCAGUGGACCUGUGACUUCUCUUUUCGUAAGCUAAUUUGAUUUGGAUUUCUGUUCCUUACUGUCAAGAAUCCUGAUUAAUACAGUCCUUGGGAUGCCUCUUCCCUAUGGUUGUAAAAUAGUUACCAGCUGCUCCUGGCUUCUGUCUCAUCCUCCCAACAACCUCAGCAGGGAGAUACCACUUCGCUAGAUGAUCCAACAAAACUUUAGUGAUUGUCAAGGGAAUGAGAAGGCAAGGCACAGAUGGGAGAAAACAUUUGCAAAUGACGUACCUGAUGAAACACUGUUUUCCAAAAUAGACAAAGAACUCUUAAAACUCCACAAUAAGAAAGCCUACAAUCCACAGAAUGGGCAAAGGAUCUGAACACAUUCCUCAUCAAAGAAGAUAGUCAAAUGGCAAUGUCAUCAGGGAAAUGCAAACUCAAACUGUUGAGGCUGGGACCAGGACCCAUCUUCCUGGAAAUACAUGGCCACCAGAAGAAAACCUGUUCACAACCAGAAUUCCAAUUUACAGGAUUUCCUGACCAGGGAUGGAGCUUGUGUCCCCUGUAGUGGAAGUUUGGAGUCCUAACCACUGGACUGCCAGGGAAGUAUUUCUUUUUAUGGCACUGAUUAUAAUCCCUAAUUAUCUUGCUUCUGUGUUCAACUUUUCUUUCCUGCCCCUGCCCCAUCACUAGAUUAGGCUCCCUGAGAGCAGGGAGUGUGCCCCCUCUCUCCCUCCCUCCCUCCUCCCCUCCCUCCCCCUCCCCACUGGGGCUCACCAUUCUAUUCCCAGGGCUCAGCAGAGUGCCUGGUGGAUGGCAGUUAUCUUCACAAAUAUUUGUGGAAUGAAUGGAUCUUGUAU
ensembl:lncRNA